CCUGGUUGAUCCUGCCAGUAGUCAUAUGCUUGUCUCAAAGAUUAAGCCAUGCAUGUCUAAGUAUAAGCAUUCUUGUACUGUGAAACUGCGAACGGCUCAUUAAAUCAGUUAUAAUUUACUUGAUCGUAUUUACCUUACAUGGAUAACCGUAGGAAUUCUAGAGCUAAUACAUGAAAAAAAUCUGGACCUUUUAUUUAUAGGAGGAAAGGAUGAAUUUAUUAGAUUACCCAACCAACGCAGGGUAUCCAAACUAUAAAGAACUUGUGUCUUUAUAGGCCCUGAUUUCUUCGGAAAUACAAAAAGGUGACUCACAAUAACUAAUCGAAUCGCAGAGACUUCGGUCGGCGAUGAUACAUACAAAUUUCUGCCCUAUCAACUGUCGAUGGUAGUAUAGAGGACUACCAUGGUUAUAACGGGUAACGGGGAAUUAGGGUUCGAUUCCGGAGAGGGGGCCUGAGAAAUGGCCACCACUUCCAAGGAAGGCAGCAGGCGCGCAAAUUACCCAAUCCUAAUUCAGGGAGGUAGUGACAAGAAAUACCAAUACAGGACCAAUGGUGCUGUGUUUGGAAUGAGUAUAAUUUAAAAACCUUAACGAGGAACCAUUGGAGGGCAAGUCUGGUGCCAGCAGCCGCGGUAAUUCCAGCUCCAAUAGUGUAUACUAAAGUUGCUGCAGUUAAAAAGCUCGUAGUUGGAUUUCGGUUAAUGAAAAGUUAGUCCACUUAAUAUAUAAGUGCGUACUGACGUUUUAUUUCCUUCUUUUCAGAUAUACAACUUGUUGUGUUCUGAAUCUUUUACUUUGAGAAAAUUAGAGUGUUCAAAGCAGGCGUAACCAAGCCUUUGAAUAUAUUAGCAUGGGAUAAUGGAAUAAGACUUUUUGCCUUAUUUUCGUUGGUUCUUGAGGCUAAAGUAAUGAUUAAUAGGGAUAGUUGGGGUCAUUAGUAUUUAAUUGUCAGAGGUGAAAUUCUAAGAUUUAUUAAAGACUAACUACUGCGAAAGCAUUUGACAAGGAUGUUUUCAUUAAUCAAGAACGAAAGUUGGGGGAUCGAAGAUGAUCAGAUACCGUCGUAGUCUCAACCAUAAACUAUGCCGACCAAGGAUUCGGGGGUGUUAUAUGAAUGACCCUCCGGGCACUUAUAGAGAAAUCAUAAGUAUUUGGGUUCCGGGGGGAGUAUGGUCGCAAGGCUGAAACUUAAAGGAAUUGACGGAAGGGCACCACCAGGAGUGGAAUAUGCGGUUUAAUUUGACUCAACACGGGAAAACUUACCAGGUCCAGACACAGUGAGGAUUGACC
rnacentral:rRNA from 1 species